rnacentral:rRNA from 1 species
UUAAAUUGAAGAGUUUGAUCAUGGCUCAGAUUGAACGCUGGCGGCAGGCCUAACACAUGCAAGUCGAACGGUAACAGGAAACAGCUUGCUGUUUCGCUGACGAGUGGCGGACGGGUGAGUAAUGUCUGGGAAACUGCCUGAUGGAGGGGGAUAACUACUGGAAACGGUAGCUAAUACCGCAUAACGUCGCAAGACCAAAGAGGGGGACCUUCGGGCCUCUUGCCAUCGGAUGUGCCCAGAUGGGAUUAGCUUGUUGGUGGGGUAACGGCUCACCAAGGCGACGAUCCCUAGCUGGUCUGAGAGGAUGACCAGCCACACUGGAACUGAGACACGGUCCAGACUCCUACGGGAGGCAGCAGUGGGGAAUAUUGCACAAUGGGCGCAAGCCUGAUGCAGCCAUGCCGCGUGUAUGAAGAAGGCCUUCGGGUUGUAAAGUACUUUCAGCGGGGAGGAAGGGAGUAAAGUUAAUACCUUUGCUCAUUGACGUUACCCGCAGAAGAAGCA